rnacentral:rRNA from 1 species
GAGGAAUAUUGGUCAAUGGGCGCAAGCCUGAACCAGCCAUCCCGCGUGAAGGAUGAAGGCCCUAUGGGUCGUAAACUUCUUUUAUACACCAAGAAAAAGCAGGACGUGUCCUGCCCCGACGGUAGUGUAUGAAUAAGCAUCGGCUAACUCCGUGCCAGCAGCCGCGGUAAUACGGAGGAUGCGAGCGUUAUCCGGAUUCAUUGGGUUUAAAGGGUGCGUAGGCGGCUUUUUAAGUCAGUGGUGAAAUCCUGUCGCUUAACGAUAGAAUUGCCAUUGAUACUGAAGAGCUUGAGUACAAUUGAGGUAAGCGGAAUGUGUAGUGUAGCGGUGAAAUGCUUAGAUAUUACACAGAACACCGAUUGCGAAGGCAGCUUACUAAACUGUCACUGACGCUGAUGCACGAAAGCGUGGGGAGCGAAC